rnacentral:rRNA from 1 species
CCUACGGGAGGCAGCAGCGGGGAAUAUUGGACAAUGGGCGAAAGCCUGAUCCAGCAAUUCCGCGUGUGUGAAGAAGGCCUUCGGGUUGUAAAGCACUUUAGUGGGGGAAGAAACAGCUUGGCCACACCAAGCCUUGACGGUACCCCAAGAAUAAGCACCGGCUAACUCUGUGCCAGCAGCCGCGGUAAUACAGAGGGUGCAAGCGUUAAUCGGAUUUACUGGGCGUAAAGGGUGCGUAGGUGGCUAUUUAAGCCGGAUGUGAAAGCCCGGGGCUCAACCUCGGAAUUGCAUUCGAUACUGAGUGGCUAGAGUUCGGUAGAGGGCGGCGGAAUUUCCGGUGUAGCGGUGAAAUGCGUAGAUAUCGGAAGGAACAUCAAUGGCGAAGGCAGCCGCCUGGGCCUGGACUGACACUGAGGCACGAAAGCGUGGGUAGCAAACAGGAUUAGAUACCCUGGUAGUCCACGCCGUAAACGAUGAGAACUUGACGUUGGUUCGUUUUACGAAUCGGUGUCGCNGACUACGACGAUAGUUACGUCCGUCCGUGGGAGGUACGGCCGCGAGGUUAGUAACGUACGUAAGUUAGUUAGUUAGUUACGGCGUGAGACGNGCGACGGACGACGACGAGGGAGGAGG